ACAGGGGUAGGAAGUCCUGCGUCACGGGCUGACGGAACGGAAUGUGAACGUCAGCAGAAAGGUCCUGUCAUUGGCCUGCGUGGUUCUUCCGCAUUCACCAU
rnacentral:ncRNA from 21 species